UACGGAGGAGGCAAGCGUUAUCCGGAAUUAUUGGGCGUAAAGCGUCCGCAGGUGGCUAUUCAAGUCUGCGGUCAAAGACUGGGGCUUAACCCUGGAAAGGCCGUGGAAACUGAAGAGCUAGAGUGCAGUAGGGGUAGAGGGAAUUCCCGGUGUAGCGGUGAAAUGCGUAGAGCUCGGGAAGAACAUCGGUGGCGAAAGCGCUCUGCUGGACUGCAACUGACACUCAGGGACGAAAGCUAGGGGAGUGAAUGGG
rnacentral:rRNA from 1 species